GAACGCUGGCGGCGUGCCUAAUACAUGCAAGUAGAACGCUGAAGGAGGAGCUUGCUCUUCUGGAAGAGUUGCGAACGGGUGAGUAACGCGUAGGUAACCUGCCUGGUAGCGGGGGAUAACUAUUGGAAACGAUAGCUAAUACCGCAUAAGAUUGAAUAUCGCAUGAUAAUUGAUUAAAAGAUGCAAAUGCAUCACUACCAGAUGGACCUGCGUUGUAUUAGCUAGUAGGUGAGGUAACGGCUCACCUAGGCGACGAUACAUAGCCGACCUGAGAGGGUGAUCGGCCACACUGGGACUGAGACACGGCCCAGACUCCUACGGGAGGCAGCAGUAGGGAAUCUUCGGCAAUGGGGGCAACCCUGACCGAGCAACGCCGCGUGAGUGAAGAAGGUUUUCGGAUCGUAAAGCUCUGUUGUAAGAGAAGAACGAGUGUGAGAGUGGAAAGUUCACACUGUGACGGUAUCUUACCAGAAAGGGACGGCUAACUACGUGCCAGCAGCCGCGGUAAUACGUAGGUCCCGAGCGUUGUCCGGAUUUAUUGGGCGUAAAGCGAGCGCAGGCGGUUAGAUAAGUCUGAAGUUAAAGGCUGUGGCUUAACCAUAGUACGCUUUGGAAACUGUUUAACUUGAGUGCAGAAGGGGAGAGCGGAAUUCCAUGUGUAGCGGUGAAAUGCGUAGAUAUAUGGAGGAACACCGGUGGCGAAAGCGGCUCUCUGGUCUGUAACUGACGCUGAGGCUCGAAAGCGUGGGGAGCGAACAGGAUUAGAUACCCUGGUAGUCCACGCCGUAAACGAUGAGUGCUAGGUGUUAGGCCCUUUCUCGGGGCUUAGUGCCGUAGCUAACGCAUUAAGCACUCCGCCUGGGGAGUACG
rnacentral:rRNA from 1 species